rnacentral:rRNA from 1 species
AUACAGAGGGUGCGAGCGUUAAUCGGAAUUACUGGGCGUAAAGCGCACGUAGGUGGUUCAUUAAGUCAGAUGUGAAAGCCCCGGGCUCAACCUGGGAACUGCAUUUGAAACUGGUGAGCUAGAGUAUGGUAGAGGUAAGUGGAAUUCCAGGUGUAGCGGUGAAAUGCGUAGAUAUCUGGAGGAACAUCAGUGGCGAAGGCGACUUACUGGACCAAUACUGACACUGAGGUGCGAAAGCGUGGGGAGCAAACAGGAUUAGAAACCCGGGUAGUCC